UACCAGCUGGCUGCAACUGUUUAUUAAAAACACAGCACUGUGCAAACACGAAAGUGGACGUAUACGGUGUGACGCCUGCCCGGUGCCGGAAGGUUAAUUGAUGGGGUUAUCCUCACGGAGAAGCUCUUGAUCGAAGCCCCGGUAAACGGCGGCCGUAACUAUAACGGUCCUAAGGUAGCGAAAUUCCUUGUCGGGUAAGUUCCGACCUGCACGAAUGGCGUAAUGAUGGCCAGGCUGUCUCCACCCGAGACUCAGUGAAAUUGAACUCGCUGUGAAGAUGCAGUGUACCCGCGGCAAGACGGAAAGACCCCGUGAACCUUUACUAUAGCUUGACACUGAACACUGGUCCUUGAUGUGUAGGAUAGGUGGGAGGCUUUGAAGUGUGGACGCCAGUCUGCAUGGAGCCAUCCUUGAAAUACCACCCUUUAAUGGCUGGUGUUCUAACGUGGGCCCGUGAUCCGGGUUGCGGACAGUGUCUGGUGGGUAGUUUGACUGGGGCGGUCUCCUCCUAAAGAGUAACGGAGGAGCACGAAGGUCAGCUAAUCCUGGUCGGACAUCAGGAGGUUAGUGCAAUGGCAUAAGCUGGCUUGACUGCGAGCGUGACGGCGCGAGCAGGUGCGAAAGCAGGUCAUAGUGAUCCGGUGGUUCUGAAUGGAAGGGCCAUCGCUCAACGGAUAAAAGGUACUCCGGGGAUAACAGGCUGAUACCGCCCAAGAGUUCAUAUCGACGGCGGUGUUUGGCACCUCGAUGUCGGCUCAUCACAUCCUGGGGCUGAAGUAGGUCCCAAGGGUAUGGCUGUUCGCCAUUUAAAGUGGUACGCGAGCUGGGUUUAGAACGUCGUGAGACAGUUCGGUCCCUAUCUGCCGUGGGCGCUGGAGAAUUGAGGGGGGCUGCUCCUAGUACGAGAGGACCGGAGUGGACGCAUCACUGGUGUUCGGGUUGUCAUGCCAAUGGCAUUGCCCGGUAGCUAAAUGCGGAAGAGAUAAGUGCUGAAAGCAUCUAAGCACGAAACUUGCC
rnacentral:rRNA from 1 species